GAGGGUAUAGCUCAGUGGUAGAGUGCCUGCUUAGCAUGCACAAAGCCCUGGGUUCAAUCCCCAGUACCUCCA
rnacentral:tRNA from 1 species